GUUAGCUCAGUUGGUAGAGCAUUGGACUUUUAAUCCAAGGGUCGACAGUUCGAGCCUGU
rnacentral:tRNA from 1 species